rnacentral:lncRNA from 1 species
AUUUUUUUGAGCUUUUUGUUUCCUGUGCGCCUUUUUAUCUUUGCAAGAAUGGAGCUGCGUUGGAGUGUUUUGAUAGUAUUUUGGUUGCUGUCAUAUCGCUAUAGGCUACUACACCAUACAAUAUGCAGAAAGAGCUGAAAAGGUUUCAAGGUUAAUGUGUUACAAAUAAAUCAAGCAAUGGUAUGGUGGAAUGUAAAUGACACAGGGGACGAAACUAUAUUAGUUUCUUUUUUAAAAUCCAUCUAACUGGACCAGAGAACGAGACUCGCAAACCCUUGACAUCCGUGAAAUAAGUCAGUAAAUUUGAGUAAAAUCAUAGGCUUGUCUUAUCCCGUGCGAAUGCACCACACAAAAUUCAGAUGUGUGUGUGUGGGGGGGGGGUUUCAAAUUCAUACAAGGUCCCCAGAUAAUACUAAUCCCGUGCGUAUAGGGCUUUUUCCACCUUAGUUUUUUUAUUUCGUGGAUAUUUCAGCUAACAGUUUAAUUUGUUGAACAACAUCAAUUUAAAGUUAAAGAUAUUUUUUGUACCAUAAAAUCACAUUAUAUUCAGUGUUUCCCCUGCCAUUAUAUUAGGGGGGCGGCCCGCCCCGGUCUAUACCUUGCUCUUUUAUUACACAAACUAAAUAGCCUUAUGUUAUUGAUCUUAUUUACAUGACGCAUGUCAAUUCGGUCUCUACGCUACAUGGUCACGCUCUCUGUAUCGAACACAGCGGAGUACCGUCCCAAUGCGCGCGCGCACACACACGCACACACAAAUAAGUGAACACAUUCCCACUAGUAUUUGUAAAUAUUAAGCCGCAUAACGACUAUUUAAAUAUGAAUUCUGCGUGUCUCUGUGUUAAUGAAUGGCGCAGCCGCGUGGUUUGGUACUUGUACUGAAGCGCGCGUGACGCUUACGGUGAUAUUAAUGUCUGCCGUCUCACCAUGACGACAAAUACAUGAACCACAUCUCCAGAGCUGCUCUGAGAGUCACUUCAUGAGCAAUUGACUGUUUAAUUUUUGUAAAUCUAUCCUCAUAUCAUAUACACACAGAAAUGUAAAGGUAUUCACAGCAACCCGUCAAAAUAAAAAUUCGGUUAAACUUGCCCUUGCGAAAUAUUGCAACCCUCUACAUUGCGAGUAAAUCACUCGCAUAUGCGACUAAAUCUUCAUUCUGGCGACUAAAUGAUGUCUAAUAUUAGCCAAUGGCUACUUAGUACGGGUUACGGGUGUAACGCGUUACUGUAAUUAAAUUACUUAUCCACUGAAAAAGUAAAGUAAGGGAUUAAUGCUCAUUUUUAGGCAAUUUAAUUACAGUUACUUAUAAAGCAUUUGCAUUACAUACAGUAAAUCAUUUCAACAGUUCUAAAAUCA